UACGUAGGGGGCGAGCGUUGUCCGGAGUUACUGGGCGUAAAGCGCACGCAGGCGGUUUCGUACGUCUGGAGUGACAGUUCCCGGCUCAACUGGGAAAGGUCUUCGGAAACGGCGAGACUUGAGGGCUUCAGAGGGACACGGAAUUCCGGGUGGAGUGGUGAAAUGCGUAGAUAUCCGGAGGAACACCAGUGGCGAAAGCGGCCACCUGGACUGCACCUGACGCUGACACGCGAAAGCUAGGGGAGCGAACGGG
rnacentral:rRNA from 1 species